AAAAAUCCAAAUUCUAUUAUUCCUUGGUUGCAACAAAGCAUGAAGUUAAUGAAAACUCAAAAAACAACAACAAAAAACAGCAACAAGUUAAAAUAAAUGAUUAUUGUAAAAGGUCAGAAAAGGUAGAAACAAAUUCCAGGAUCAGAAAUCCAGAAACUCGGCCAACCCUAGAAUAACUGAGGUGCCAUGCUUAUUUGGGUACUAGAAUUCAAUAGCCUACAGACUUCUAAUCAAAAUUGUGAGAACAAUAUUAUACAGUAGAGAAGAGUGUCGAUGGAAAUUGGCAAAUUGAAAGCAGAUAACCAAGUUCCAACCCUUCAACGACGUGUAGAUGGGUCUAAUUGACCAAGACUUAGAUUCCAGAUCAACCAGCAUUUAGUGAGCACCUACUAUGUGCCAGCUCUCAGUUGGGUUAUGUUAUUCAAUGUUGAUAUGAAAACAGAAUGGAGCAGAAUACUUCUGGUUGUGGAGAAGAUGGGGUAGUCCCACUCUGUUCAGGCUUUCCCUCAUACAACUAAAAAUUCCUGGACAUAACAUAAUAAACAGCAAUGGAAUGCUCUGAAAAAUGGAGAGAAGGAAUACAGCCUAGGAACUUUGGGCAUUGAGGAAUGACACAGUGGUGAGUUCCCUGGCUGCCUUGGUUACUUCUCGUAUAUCUAGGGCAGGGUACUGCAGAAGCCUCAGCUCUGAACCACCAACUAGCAUAGACAAAGAAGCUCCAACAAAAGCCCAUUUUCCCUAACCAAAGGACCAGGAAAAGAGGAAACUAACAACAGAAAACCUUUUUGGUAAUGCACAGCCUACACUAGCCAAACACCAACAGAACCACUGCACCUUCCCCAAGCCUAACCUCACCUCCACCCCAGGGUUUAGCGGGGUCAACCAGGGAGCUGUGCUUAUACUCCAAGCAAACAAGUCAACCUCUGUUUCUCCCACCCAGUGGUGGCAGUGGGGCCACACGAAAAGCUGAAUUUCCAUCCCUCAGCUGGCCCAACGGAAGCAGGAAGCACUCAAAUCUUUGGCAAGGUAGUGUCUUCAGGCCGACCCGGGAAGCUUGAUUCUGAUUACUAUCACCAGGGACAAGUUUCACCUGUUCUUGUACCUCUGCUCUAUGAAACCAUACACCCUGAAUAGCAUAUAUUGGCUUUAAAUGGAUUCUUCACACUCUGGAAGCUUAGUCACUGCUUUCCACACCCAAAAUUGACAGCAAAAGAUGAAACAUAAAGAAUAAAGGGUAAAAAUGUAAGGGGCAUCAUUUCUAGUUCCUUUGAGCCUAUUUUAACAGAUUGGAGAUAGAGUAUGUUCAGUGGGGGACAACAAUGCUUUCCUCAUGAAUUUUUCUCUCCCUGCAUCAAACACUUGUGUGUGUUGUCUGAAAACCUCUAAGAGAAAUAAGUAGUUCAGCAUUUGGCUUUAAGAAUUCUCCAUCUCCCUUGGAUAGAAAGCUAGGAGCAUAGGAAAAGCGAUGCAUUCUUUAUGAGUUUCAAGUAGAAAGUUCAAACUGUCGAAAUUUUUCAGAGCAGCAUGCUGGCCCCAGAGCAAAUGGACUGAAGACGGUGCCAGGCUGUAAAAAGUUAAUUUACUGCAGUCUCUUCUAAGAACCAUCGAGUUAUUUUAAAUUCUAAUGCAACAUUUCUAUCCUUCUACAACCAUACCUGAACUGAAACAGAAGAAAUAGGAGGCAUUUACAAUGGAAGGUUUUAAAAGGUAGAAUCAGAAAUUUGCCCUCCUGUUUGUGUGCUGACCUGAGUUGUUAUUGCUCUCUGCCUUCAUUGAUCAUGCUUUCUAGUCUCCUAAGAAUUGUACCAACCUACCUCAUGGAGAUCAGGUCUCCUUGCACAUUUGUACAUCAUUUGGAUAAUGUUAUCUGAUAUCAAGUUGGGGAGGCACAACUUGUCUUCAGUGACUGUUCCCUAACCUACACACACACACACACACACACACACACACUCUUCCUUUUUGGGUCCUUUAGACCCAUACUUAACAAACUUACCUUCAUAGUGCCCUCAAGGUGCCAUGAGCCUCUCUUACUAUAGAAAAUAAAUGUAAUAAAUCAAUGUACAUUGCAAUAUUAGUGUCUGAUAUCACUUUUCU
ensembl:lncRNA